rnacentral:misc_RNA from 1 species
GAAGAUGGCAGCGUGAUUCGGACACUCUUCUUGUCGUCAUCUCUCGCUACGUCACAGUCUGCUGUUCCGUUUUCAUCUCGAUGAACUUAUCGAGUAACUUGUGCCGGUACUCGGCUGUAUCUCGCUGUCAUUCAGCAACUAAACGAAUUAUUUUAUAAUCAUGCCAAGACGGUGUACGUGAUAAUAAAUAAACUCUGGAUCCACAGAUUCCCAAGUGAAAUAAAUUCAUUAAUACAUCAUUAUCGAACGGGUGAAAACAAACGUAAAUGACAUUUUUUAUCAUGGACUAACCGAUUCUAGUAUGCAAUCAACGAAUCUUGUAAUGUAUCUAUUUCUUUAUAAUACGGGUGGAUCGUCUUUUUGUCACGCAACAAUAUCGGAUAGUCCUACAACUCCAACUGUUACGAUACCGAAUUUCAAAGACGACAACGUGCACCUUGCGUCGGCAGUGAUUUUCAACCGUUAUGUAAAAUGGAAUUGAACAAUGUUGUUAAGACAUAAACAUGUUUUGGGUAUACUGUGGACUUUUUGUUCUCGUGAUUGCCGUACCUGGAUUUAUUAGCAGUGCCGACACUACUGCCAAAAGAGAAGCCGACUAUACUUUAGACGAUUCCUUUUGGAGUGAAGGAGAGACUCCUUCUGCAAGAAGAUCAGUUGAUGAUGAUAUGGAUGUUGUAGGGGAAGUCGAACGAUUACUACGAGAAUAUCGACAGAAUCAAGAGUUAGUACGUGAUAUUGGUGCGCACAAUUAUCAGAUCAUUUAUCCGGUACAGCUUCGGCAUCACGAGAAAAUGGGGAUAUCCACAAGGGAAGCUGGCUCUCCUAAGUACCCUCAAAGAGGUGGUUACGGAGAUGGAUAUCAACCUGGUCGUGGUAGAUCAAGAGCUGGAAAACAUUUUCAUCGAACGUCUCUCUUGAUAAAGGCCUUCAACCAUAAAUUCCGCCUAGAUUUAGAAUUAAAUACACAACUUUUAGCACCUAAUCUAAUGCAAAAGGAUUACUUAAGCAAUGGUGCCGAACAAACAACAAAGCAGGAAAUCGAGCAUUGCUAUUAUCAUGGUUCCGUGAAAGAUUAUCCUGGUGCAAGUGCUGCUUUUCACACGUGCAAUGGCGUCAGUGGGGUUAUUCAUUUGGGCAAUGAGACGUUCGUCAUUCAGCCAUUCUAUGGUGGUGAUUUGUCGCAGAGACAUCCUCACGUUAUAUUUGAAGCUCGAACAAAAGGUAACAAAGGCUGUGGUAUUGCGGGAAAUCUUGAGCGUCGUUCGAAGAACCGUCGGCAGAAGCAUGUCCUCGGCUUAUUGGAGACCAUCACCGAUCGAUAUAAGAGAGACGUACGUGCAGCUACGAAAUAUAUCGAAACUGCCAUGAUCAUUGAUAAAGCAAUGUUCGAUAGAAGAAACGGUAGCACAAGAUCCGAAGUAGUUCAUGAUGCUAUUCAAGUUGCAAAUAUUGCUGAUUUGUAUUUUCGUACAUUGAAUACAAGAGUAUCAGUAGUUUAUAUCGAAACAUGGAUGGGUGGAAAUCGUGCAGCAAUUGAUUCCAAUAUGGAGAUUGGUCGUGCACUGCAAAACUUUGUUGAUUACACUGUGAGAAAAAUGUACCACGUUUCACAGGAUACCACUCAAUUACUUACAGGCGAGUCUUUCGCGGGUGGCGAGUCAGGGAUAGCUGUUCCAGAGACAGUUUGCAGCCCGAAAUCUGCUGGUAUAAGCGUUGACCUCAACACUUAUGAGCCACAUCUUCUAGCAGGAACAAUGGCACAUAUGAUAGGCCACAACAUUGGGAUGGGUCACGACGACCUAAGAGAAAAUUGCCAUUGUCGUGACUGGCACGGGUGUAUUAUGGCCCAGUCAAUUGUUGGCGCUGAGAAUGUCCAACCUUACAAAUUCUCUGAAUGUAGUAAAUCCGAUUACGAGGAUGCUUUGAAAGUCGGCAAUGGAAUCUGUCUUCUAAAUAAACCAAAUGAGUUGGAGAAUAGAUCAUGCGGAAACAGGGUAAUAGAUGAUGGUGAACAGUGUGACUGUGGAACCAUCGAUGAGUGUCCAAAGUAUGACCCUUGCUGUGACCCAAUAACGUGUAAACUCACUUCAGGAGCACAAUGUGCAAAAGGUCCAUGUUGUACCAAUGAUUGUAAGUUACGUCCUCAAGGACAUAUAUGUCGUGAAUCAACAAAUGAAUGUGAUCUACCAGAAGUAUGUACUGGUGAAACCGGCCAGUGUCCAACAGAUGUUUACAAAAAAAAUGGAAAACCUUGUGCCAACAACCACAGCUCUUGCUAUGCUGGCCAUUGUCCGGACUUAGAUGUCCAGUGUGAAGCAGUUUGGGGUGAAGAUGGUAGUGCUGCUGAUAUGCAGUGUUUCGAACAAUUCAACUCUAAAGGUUCUAUCAAUGGUCAUUGCGGAACUGACACAGAUGGACACUUUGUCAAGUGCGAAAUCGAGAAUGUACGUUGUGGUUCACUUCAAUGUCAGAAGGGAAGCAAACAGCCUGUGAUUGAUGGUAUGCACCAUUCAUGGACUAGAACUAUUAUUUCAAUACAAGGCAAUGAAUAUGAAUGCAAAGCUACUAGCAAAGUUGAAGGCUUAGAGGUGCCAGGAAUGGGAUUAGUUCGUGAUGGCACUUCUUGUGGCGAGAAUUUGAUCUGUAUCAAUCAAACUUGCACAAGUGUUUUCCCACACACAGACAUGGUUAAAUGUCCAACUAAUCACAAUAAUCUGGAGUGCUCUGGGAAUGGGGUGUGCACCAACGUGAACAAAUGUUACUGUAACAUUGGCUGGAGUGGUCCAGACUGUUCAAUACAAACAGAUAUACCCACAUUAGAACCGAUUACAACGACUGUUGGAGUGCCUGGCAAAGUCACUGAAUCAUCAUCCAGUACCAAACUUCAGAAGAAAGAGACCCCCUACGACGAAAGAGUACUAUCCAGAAGUACGAUCCACCAUAUUCAAAGAAGCCAACUCAAAAGACAUACAGUACUGCAUCGAGUAAUCAUUGUCCUGAGGUCGCUGUACUUGACAAUGUCAACAAAAUACUAACGUUCGGUAGCAUGCCAACAUACAGUUCUGAUGCCCAACGAGUACUAUUUCAACAACAACAGCAAGGCAAUUUGGUCACAGCAGAUGGAUCCCGACUCAAGGACAAACCACAGAUGAAAAGGAUGGGAAUGGAAGACGAAGAUGGAG